rnacentral:rRNA from 1 species
AACGCGAACUGGCGGCAGCCAUGACCAUGCAGUCGUACGGAGAGUGGGGCAACUCACUCUCAGUGGCAAACGGGUGAGUAACGCGUGAAUAACCUGCCUUUGAGAAGGGGAUAACUGUCCGAAAGGAUAGCUAAUACCCUAUAUUGCCUUUUGUCACUAAGACAAAAGGUGAAAGCGAGGCUGUCAAAGGCUUCAGCUCAAAGAGGGGUUCGCGUCCUAUCAGGUAGUUGGUGGGGUAAUGGCCUACCAAGCCAAUGUCGGGUAGCUGGUCUUAGAGGAUGAUCAGCCACAGUGGGACUGAGACACGGCCCGCACCCCUACGGGGGGCAGCAGUGGGGAAUCGUGGGCAAUGGGCGCAAGCCUGACCCCGCAAUGCCGCGUGAGAGAAGAAGCCCUUCGGGGUGUAAACCUCUGUCAGAUGGGAAGAUGGGACUAGGGGCUAAUACCUCCUAGUCUUGACGGUACCAUCAGAGGAAGGGACGGCUAACUACGUGCCAGCAGCCGCGGUAAU